rnacentral:lncRNA from 1 species
UUUUUUUUUUUUUUUUUUCCCCUUACAUCAGAGUCUUCUGAUGCUACAGGAGGACUGUAAGUUGAACAGAAAAGCAUAUUGUUAACUUUUAAGUUUCAUCUCAGACCUCUCUUUCUCAACACUGACUCAGGAUCACUCCACUCCCAAAUCCUCCAGUGCACACAAGAAGUCCCAUGUUGGCUUUUCCUGUGUCAGGACAAAGCUAACAUAAGAAGGAAAUGUCAGGAAUUCUUAUCUGGGAGUGAACUGCAUUUCCCAGUGACCAUUCAUAAAGGAAAGCUGGCAUGUGAAGUAUGUAUCUAAAUAAAAUGUGUGAGGACACGGGACUGAGGAAAUAGGCAAACUUUACGUGAGGUAGGGUUUUCCCCUCUCCAGAGAAGAUCAGAGCUGUAAAAACUUUGAUUGUGCUUGUCCUGAACACUGGGCAGUAUCCCCUAUUGCCCUCAUUAAUUAAAAUAUUAAUAAAAUAUUUAAGCAGCAUUUUCUACCUCUGCCUGGAGAAAAGAUGCUUUCCAAUUGCUUAGCCUUGCUUGCUGAGCUGAUGCUCCAGGUUGCACUGUCUGCCAGACUAGGGAACUUGAUUUCGAACAAUGAGAUCCAGUCAUGCAGUAAGGAGAUUAACUCACAUCCGUUAUAACACCUUUUGAGACAACUCAUUAAAUCAGUCUGUCUGUGAAGUCCAGCACACUUGAUAGCAUUAAUCUAAUAUCUCAGCCUUGAGGUUAUCAGUGGACAGGUGUAAUUGCAAUUGAUUGAAAAGACAUUUUCACAGAGGAGUUUCUGUUUCCUGGAAUUCAGGCAUUUCUGAAAAUUUUUCCUGUGUUGCCCAGCGCAGUCAUUCCAAUCUUAUUAUCUCCAGGCAGGCAUAUGCAGCUUUUUAGUAACUUGAAAUCAAAGUACGAAAUUGGCAAUAUUCUGACAACAGGCAAACUAUAAAGUUAAGCUCUAAAGAGAAGCUCACAUGGUCUUUUAAUGGCACUGUUUAUGCCAACUGCAAUCUCCUACAUCCUCCCUAUAUGUUGGGGAAUGUGGUGAGAAGCUCCUGCUUGGUUCACUGUCACUCCAGCUGUGACACUGGACUGGUUGCUGUUUCUUGACAUCUUCCCUUUUCUCUUCCUUGAUGGACUCCUCAGAGUCAGAGGACAGCUCAACCACCUCUGGUGUCCUCUCAGCUAAUGGCUUAACAUACCCAACAAUGACACAAUUGUCUGAGGAAGAGCCACUGUCGUUUGAGUCAGCAUUAGCCUGUAACUCAGUCUGCACCUUGGUUCUUUGGCUCCCUGAAGCAGAGUCCUCAUCUGAACUUUCUGAUGACUCCAGAGGAGAAGCUACGGUGGCACGAACCUCUUCUGAAAUGGAAUAGGAAGGCCCCGGAGUUUCAUCAUCCCACGGGGCCUGACCAAGACCAGGUACAGACAAACUAUUAUCAGGUCCUUGCGGGUACGCCACAUCUGGGGAUAUUGUAAUAAUGGAUGAGUCUGAGUGGCUUCCUUCCUCAUACGAUGGUGCAGGACAGUCAUAAUUGGCGUGUUGAUCGUAGGCUUCUAAGUUAAAAGGACAACGAGCAAAACUGAUGAAUUCGUGCAGGAAGUGUUCUGUCCGAUUCAGCAAAAAUGGCUUUAAAUCAUCAGCAAAGGCCUGACUUUCCAGAUCGUACCUGGUUACGUUACUCAUGAUUAUGUGCUGCACAAUAUUGAUCAGAGACCCGUGGGCACCAAACAGGACUGUAAGUUCUCGCUUCAGCCAAGGAACCAAGCGGUGAAGGCAAGCGGGGUUGUGGCGGAAGAACUCUGCCGAGAUCUCUCGGUACCGGCCGCCGUCCUGAAUGCUGUGGAUGCGCACGCCGGUGCGGUACAGAGCCCUGCGGAAGCUGAUCAUGUCCUCCUCCUGAAUCUGCCGCAGAGAUCUGCCCUCCGCGCUAGCUUUUCUCCUUGAGGCCAGCCUCCGGAUCAUCUGCUGAACCUCUCUGUAUCUGUGCCACGUUGGCUCGCUUGACAGCCCUUCAAACAACAUCCCAUUAUCCAGAGGGGACAGCAUCCUUUGGGAAGGGGAACCACGCAUGCGGCGUUCCCUCGUUAAGGUAGUGCGAUAAUGAAACCUCCGGCCAUCGGGGCUGGCAAAAGAGCUUGUUUCUAAAGGGCUGAGUAUGUACUCCUUGAAGUCAUCUUCAGCACGAAUCGUAUGGAAAAUGGAAAAAAAGGGCUGCUUGCAGAGCGGGCAUUCUGCUUUGUUUUUCGGCCAUUCUUGGAUGCAGCAGAAGCAGAACCUAUGCAAGCAGUGGUUGAGAUAUGCAACGUUGUCAAAUCUAUCGAGGCAGAUGGGGCAUUUGGAGUUGGGAGGCGCAUCUGUCGGCAGCUUACUGGUGCCGGCUUUUGGCGAAAAAUUGCUAUUUUCCGCAAUCUCUCAGCUAACAGAAAGCACCUAGUGCCUCCCAAAUUUUAGGAUUACCAUUUGGCUAGUGAGGUCAUCCCUGCAGCAAAGCACCUUGAAGCAUGAGUCACAUCCUGACCUGUGAAGGAUAGGCUGAGUUUACGCACUGAGACAAGGAGUUUUUCCAAGCAGAUGCUCUGUGUGCAUCUCCUGUCUCUGUUCUUGGCCCUUAGACAAAGGGUGCCCACAGGGUCCCAACUUGCAGAAGAGAUUUGAAGGUCUUUCUCUUUCAUUUUCUUUCCUUUAGUUCCCUGUAGUCUCAAGGACUGGUCUUAAGGAACCAUCUCAUCUUAACGUGAGCUGCAGGCAAUUAUCAGAUGGCAGCAUUGCUCACUGAUACGUGGAUGGGAAUUGAGUCAGAAACUCAGAAAGCAAAGGUUUAGCUUCCACUACCAUUUCUUUAAGCCACCCAGUUCUCACAAUCUAGUGAGCUAUUUUACCUUAUAAAAUAAUCAUUUUCUAAGGGAAAAAAAAUGUUUUAAAAGAAAAUUAGUUAUUAUUGUCUAAGCAAAAACAUAGACUCAGUCUCCUGGACAUGGAAAGAGUCUAAAUAUACAGUCUAAACCAGCACCACAAUAAAAAAGACCAAGUUUGUACACCAUGCAGUCACUUACCAGAGGGACUGAAUAUUUGCAAAAUCGCAUGCUCCUCUUGAGGAGUUCUCUGGGUAGCAUUUGGAAAGGAAGAUAGAACGAAAUUCAGUAUGAUCUGCAGACUUUUAUUUCUGAACAUGGAAUAAUAUUUAAUAUUCCCUGGCACAGGCUCUUCCAUGCAAAGCCUUCAAGCUCUGAAAUGCACUGCCUUCUACCAGCAAGCUGUACAUCCUCCCAUCCUUCCUCAGGCUCCCGCAGGGCUGCACAUCCACUGGCUAAAUGGUGCCCACAUUAGCACCCUGACACCUUAAGCAUAUCCAAUGCUUGCCCUUUGGUUGGCUGAUGGCAAAGAAGCAAGUUAAACUGGAAAGGUCAAGUGGAAAUCUCUGAACAGAGUGAACCAUAUUGCAGACACAAAGUAAAGCGAGCAAGAGUUCUCAAGCUAUGUGGAAACUGGGUCAAAAGGGCCUGAAACAGAAGCUGUUAGGCAAAGUGAGAAACCAAGAUUGUUAUUUCAAAGACGGUCCAUGUGGCAAUAUCUCUCUGUGGCCAGGAUGAGCUUUGCUUUUGCUUGCUCUGCUCAAGACUGAAGGCAGUUUUGAACUGUAAGCAGAGGUUGUAUAAACUAGAUGCAAGCUGCAUUGGGAACAGAAGCCACGUGCAAAACCAGGAAGGUGUGCAGGAAAAAGCAAAACCAACAAUCCUAAUAAAGGGAAGAAAUUAUAUCACAUGCUUUCACUGAUAGGCAAGGACAGCAUUGAAAACCUUCCACAUUCACUAACAGGACACAUAUACAGGACUUUUAUCCUUCCAAGGAUUUCAUGCAUAUUGUCCUCUUAAGUCACAAAGUCUAAGCUUCCAGCCUGUCCACACCGUGACUAAACCUAAUGCCUCAAAAGAAGAGCAAUAAUACAAGAAGUGACUCCAUCCUCCUCAGAGAAGCAUGCUAGCAGGACAGUACUUAAAAGAAUCCCUGUAGCACCCUUUGGUAGGCAUUUCAGAACUUACAAAGGUGAUGCUUUGUGAUCCUGGGAAGCUUCUGGUCCUUCAUGACAAUAUAUUCAGAGCACACAACACUGACUGUAGAAAUAGGGAACCUUGAAAAAAGAGAUGCAUGGCAGGUGUGAACACUAUGAAGACAACCCAUCCUUUUUCUGGUGGAAUGCAAUCAGAAAAAGCAUUCCAACCCAGGACUGCAGGAACAGGUGUAAAAUAAUUGCAGAAUCCUGCACUGAAAAGUUUACCUGGAAAUUUGUACAGAAAUACUAAGGGGACAGUGGUUUUACUAGAAGCCUUAGCCAGUUACCCCAAAUUAUCUGUCCUUGAGUCUCAGAAAAAAACAGCCAGCAUUUGUGAACAGGGACUGAAGUGACAUACACUGUAACAGCAUCUUCUUAUAAAGAGGAUGAACCAGGUUGAGUAGAGACCAUAAGGGAAAGAAUAACACAGGUUAUUCAUAUCCUAUCUUGCCUCCAUGGCAGCUGAGCUCUGCGCACAGAAAGCCUUCUGGGGCUCCCUCCUCUGCUCCUUGUAUGUAGUGGAAAUGCUGCUUUUAUUGUAUGCCACAUCAUUAUGUUGCUGCUGGAGAAAGAAAAAAAAAA